rnacentral:misc_RNA from 1 species
AAGUCGUAACAAGGUUUCCGUAGGUGAACCUGCGGAAGGAUCAUUACCAAAUCCAAAUUCUUAACCCCAUGUGAACUAUUGUUUUAGUCUGUCUUUGGGAGAAGGGAAAUUUAUUUUUUCUUCUCCCAAUAGAGUCCGGCAUAACUUUAUUGUUGUGUCCAGAUUCGAAAAAACAAAACCAUAAACCACUUGAUUUUCUGUUGGAAUUACUUUUAUUAAUUUAUAAAUAAAAGACAACUUUUAACGGCGGAUCUCUUGGCUCGU